UACGGGGGGUGCGAGCGUUGUCCGGAAUCACUGGGCGUAAAGGGCGCGUAGGUGGCUUGGCAAGCGCGUGGUGAAAGCCCGGGGCUCAACCCCGGGUCUGCCGUGCGAACUGCUAUGGCUUGAGCACUGUAGAGGCAGGUAGAAUUCCGGGUGUAGCGGUGGAAUGCGUAGAGAUCCGGAAGAAUACCGGUGGCGAAGGCGGCCUGCUGGGCAGUGGCUGACACUGAGGCACGAAAGCGUGGGGAGCAAACAGG
rnacentral:rRNA from 1 species